rnacentral:rRNA from 1 species
AACGAACGCUGGCGGCAUGCCUAACACAUGCAAGUCGAACGAGACCUUUGGGUCUAGUGGCGCACGGGUGCGUAACGCGUGGGAAUCUGCCCUUGGGUUCGGAAUAACAGUGAGAAAUUGCUGCUAAUACCGGAUGAUGUCUUCGGACCAAAGAUUUAUCGCCCAGGGAUGAGCCCGCGUAGGAUUAGCUAGUUGGUGGGGUAAUGGCCUACCAAGGCGACGAUCCUUAGCUGGUCUGAGAGGAUGAUCAGCCACACUGGGACUGAGACACGGCCCAGACUCCUGCGGGAGGCAGCAGUGGGGAAUAUUGGACAAAGGGCGUAAGGUUGAACCACUAAUGCCGCGUGAGUGAUGAAGACCUUAGGGUUGUAAAGCGCUCUUACCAGCGCUGUCAAUGACAGUACCGUAAGAAUAAGCUCAGGCUACCUCCGUG